rnacentral:rRNA from 1 species
UGGGGAAUAUUGGACAAUGGGCGAAAGCCUGAUCCAGCCAUGCCGCGUGUGUGAAGAAGGUCUUCGGAUUGUAAAGCACUUUAAGUUGGGAGGAAGGGCAUUAACCUAAUACGUUAGUGUUUUGACGUUACCGACAGAAUAAGCACCGGCUAACUCUGUGCCAGCAGCCGCGGUAAUACAGAGGGUGCAAGCGUUAAUCGGAAUUACUGGGCGUAAAGCGCGCGUAGGUGGUUUGUUAAGUUGGAUGUGAAAUCCCCGGGCUCAACCUGGGAACUGCAUUCAAAACUGACUGACUAGAGUAUGGUAGAGGGUGGUGGAAUUUCCUGUGUAGCGGUGAAAUGCGUAGAUA